rnacentral:rRNA from 1 species
UACGAAGGGGGCUAGCGUUGCUCGGAAUCACUGGGCGUAAAGCGCACGUAGGCGGCCUGCUAAGUCGAACGUGAAAUCCCUGGGCUCAACCCAGGAACUGCGUCCGAUACUGGUUGGCUUGAAUCCGGGAGAGGGAUGUGGAAUUCCAGGUGUAGCGGUGAAAUGCGUAGAGAUCGGGAGGAACACCAGAGGCGGAAGGCGGCAAGCUGGAUGGGACACU